rnacentral:rRNA from 1 species
UACAGAGGGUGCGAGCGUUGUCCGGAAUCACUGGGCGUAAAGGGCGCGUAGGCGGUCUGGUAAGCGUGUGGUGAAAGCUCGGGGCUCAACCCCGAGUCGGCCGUGCGAACUGCUGGACUGGAGCAUGUCAGAGGCAGGCGGAAUUCCGGGUGUAGCGGUGGAAUGCGUAGAGAUCCGGAGGAACACCGGUGGCGAAGGCGGCUAUCUGGACAGAAACUGACGCUGAGGCGCGAAAGCUAGGGGAGCAAACAGG